rnacentral:rRNA from 1 species
AUGAAUGCUGGCGGCGUGCCUAACACAUGCAAGUCGAGCGGCAGCGAGGGGUGCUUGCACCCUGUCGGCGAGCGGCGAACGGCUGAGUAACGCGUAGGAAUUUGCCCCAAAGUGAGGAAUAACUGCCCGAAAGGGUAGCUAAUGCCGCAUAUGGUCUUCGGAUUAAAGGAUUUAUCCGCUUUGGGAGAAGCCUGCGUUGGAUUAGUUUGUUGGUAGGGUAAUGGCCUACCAAGCCGACGAUCCAUAGCUGGUCUGAGAGGAUGAUCAGCCAGGCUGGAACUGAGACACGGUCCAGACUCCUACGGGAGGCAGCAGUGAGGAAUCUUCCACAAUGGGCGAAAGCCUGAUGGAGCAACGCCGCGUGAAGGAUGAAGGCCUUCGGGUUGUAAACUUCUUUUAUGAGUGAAGAAUAUGACGGUAACUCAUGAAUAAGCACCGGCUAACUACGUG